rnacentral:rRNA from 1 species
GACGAACGCUGGCGGCGUGCUUAACACAUGCAAGUCGAACGGAAAGGCCCUGCUUUUGUGGGGUGCUCGAGUGGCGAACGGGUGAGUAACACGUGAGUAACCUGCCCUUGACUUUGGGAUAACUUCAGGAAACUGGGGCUAAUACCGGAUAGGAGCUCCUGCUGCAUGGUGGGGGUUGGAAAGUUUCGUCGGUUGGGGAUGGGCUCGCGGCUUAUCAGCUUGUUGGUGGGGUAGUGGCUUACCAAGGCUUUGACGGGUAGCCGGCCUGAGAGGGUGACCGGCCACAUUGGGACUGGGAUACGGCCCAGACUCAUACGGGAGGCAGCAGUGGGGAAUAUUGCACAAUGGGCCGAAGCCUGAUGCAGCAACGCCGCGUGCGGGAUGACGGCAUUCGGGUUGUAAACCGAUUUCGCCUGUGACGAAGCGUGAGUGACGGUAAUGGGUAAAGAAGCACCGGCUAACUACGU